rnacentral:rRNA from 1 species
GGUAGUCCACGCCGUAAACGAUGCUAACUUCGUUUUUUGGGUUUUUCGGAUUUCAGAGACUAACCGAAAGUGAUAAGUUAGCCACCUUGGGGAGUACGUUUCGCAAGAAUUGAAACUCAAAGGAAUUCGACGGGGGCCCGCACAAGCGGUGGAUUAUGUGGUUUAAUUUCGAUUGAUACGCGAGGAACCUUACCAAGGCUUAAAUUGGGAAUUUGAUCGGUUUAGAAAUAGACCUUCCUUCGGGCAAUUUUUCAAGGUGCUGCAUGGUUGUCGUCAGCUCGUGCCGUGAGGUGUUAGGUUAAGUCCUGCAACGAGCGCAACCCCUGUCACCAGUUGCCAUCAUUCAGUUGGGGACUCUAGUGAGACUGCCUACGCAAGUAGAGAGGAAGGUGGGGAUGACGUCAAAUCAUCACGGCCCUUACGCCUUGGGCCACACACGUAAUACAAUGGCCGGUACAGAGGGCAGCUACCUAGCGAUAGGAUGCAAAUCUCGAAAGCCGGUCUCAGUUCGGAUUGGAGUCUGCAACUCGACUCUAUGAAGCUGGAAUCGCUAGUAAUCGCGCAUCAGCCAUGGCGCGGUGAAUACGUUCCCGGGCCUUGUACACACCGCCCGUCAAGCCAUGGAAGUCUGGGGUACCUGAAGUCGGUGACCGUAACAGGAGCUGCCUAGGGUAAAACAGGUAACUAGGGCUAAGUCGUAACAAGGUAACC